CCUACGGGAGGCUGCAGUGGGGGAUAUUGGACAAUGGGGGGAACCCUGAUCCAGCGACGCCGCGUGAGUGAAGAAGUAUCUCGGUAUGUAAAGCUCUAUCAGCAGGGAAGAAGAAAUGACGGUACCUGAGUAAGAAGCCCCGGCUAACUACGUGCCAGCAGCCGCGGUAAUACGUAGGGGGCAAGCGUUAUCCGGAUUUACUGGGUGUAAAGGGAGCGUAGACGGCGAUGCAAGCCAGAUGUGAAAGCCCGGGGCUCAACCCCGGGACUGCAUUUGGAACUGUAUAGCUGGAGUGUCGGAGAGGCAGGCGGAAUUCCUAGUGUAGCGGUGAAAUGCGUAGAUAUUAGGAGGAACACCAGUGGCGAAGGCGGCCUGCUGGACGAUGACUGACGUUGAGGCUCGAAAGCGUGGGGAGCAAACAGGAUUAGAUACCCGGGUAGUC
rnacentral:rRNA from 1 species